AAAACUUUACAAUGCUGGAAACAGCGAUAAGGGGACCUCGAGUGCCAGGUUACAAAUCUGGCUGUCGUGAUGCCUAAAAAGCAUUGCAUAGCAAGGGCCGGGCAAGACCGGUGCCAGCCGCCGCGGUAACACCGGCGGCUCGAGUGGUAACCGUUAUUAUUGGGUCUAAAGGGUCUGUAGCCGGCCGGAUAAGUCUCUUGGGAAAUCCAGCAGCUCAACUGUUGGGCUUUCAGGAGAUACUGUCUGGCUCGAGGCCGGGAGAGGUGAGAGGUACUUCAGGGGUAGGGGUGAAAUCUUGUAAUCCUUGAAGGACCACCAGUGGCGAAGGCGUCUCACCAGAACGGACCUGACGGCAAGGGACGAAAGCUAGGGGCACGA
rnacentral:rRNA from 1 species